UACGUAGGGGGCUAGCGUUGUCCGGAAUCAUUGGGCGUAAAGCGCGUGUAGGCGGUCCGGUAAGUCCGCUGUGAAAGUCGAGGGCUCAACCCUCGAAUGCCGGUGGAUACUGUCGGGCUAGAGUACGGAAGAGGCGAGUGGAAUUCCUGGUGUAGCAGUGAAAUGCGUAGAUAUCAGGAGGAACACCGAUGGCGAAGGCAGGUCUCUGGGCUGAAACUGACGCUCAUGCACGAAAGCGUGGGGAGCAAACAGG
rnacentral:rRNA from 1 species